GCUUGCUUCAGCAACGCAUAUACUAAAAUUGGAACAAUAUGGAAAAGAUGAUCAUGACCCCUGUGCAAAGAUGACAUGCAAAUUCGUGAAGUAUUUCAUAUUUUU
rnacentral:snRNA from 1 species